rnacentral:rRNA from 1 species
UACAGAGGGUGCGAGCGUUAAUCGGAAUUACUGGGCGUAAAGCGUGCGUAGACGGUUAUUUAAGUCGGGUGUGAAAGCCCCGGGCUCAACCUGGGAAUUGCAUUCGAGACUGAAUAGCUAGGGUACGGUAGAGGGAAGCGGAAUUUCCGGUGUAGCGGUGAAAUGCGCAGAUAUCAGGAGGAACACCGGUGGCGAAGGCGGGUCUCUGGGCCGAAACUGACGCUGAGGAGCGAAAGCGUGGGGAGCGAACAGG